GCCAACGAAUGUACGCGAGGUGGUUUCCACGCUAGAGAAACAUCAGGGCCACCAACUCGGGUGAUUGAAUGACCCAUUCUCUCUCUUUUCUCGGUGUCUUGCUCUCUUCGCUCGGAGUUCGCGAAAUGCGACUAGUGUGUUUCUUUCGAUCUCUUCGGACUCGAUCUCGUCCUGUAUCCUCGUUCUUGUCAGCUUCAGUUCUUCUAUGCCUUGAUACGUUACGAUAAACAUGAGCAAUCAUUUUCGAGAUGAUCGAAUCGAGAAUUCAACGAGUCUCUGAAAUAUUAUCUCAGGCAAAAUGGUUUGUACAUUAUUUAUGAAGCAAUGAGAAAAGUUCAUAACUGACAUUUGACGAGUUCCGAAUUGUAGUUUUGCAUCGCAUCGCCGAAAUGCUUGGCCAUUAAUUUUUUCACCCGAAUCUUAACCGUUCGAUUUUUAAAAAUAACCAACUUUAUUAUCAAAUGGACGAAUGGGCAGUAAAACGCUGAAAUCUGUCAAUAAACUCCGAGAAAUUUCCAAACGGCA